UUGACCUCGGAUCAGGUAGGGUACCCG
rnacentral:rRNA from 2 species